UACAGAGGAUGCAAGCGUUAUCCGGAAUGAUUGGGCGUAAAGCGUCUGUAGGUGGCUUUUUAAGUCCGCCGUCAAAUCCCAGGGCUCAACUCUGGACAGGCGGUGGAAACUACCAAGCUGGAGUACGGUAGAGGCAGGUGGAAUUCCGGGUGUAGCGGUGGAAUGCGUAGAGAUCCGGAAGAACACCGGUGGCGAAGGCGGCCUGCUGGGCAGUGGCUGACGCUGAGGCGCGACAGCGUGGGGAGCAAACAGG
rnacentral:rRNA from 1 species